UGAUGUGAGGGUGAUCUGGCUGCCACAGUUAUCUCCCCUUUGAUGGGCAGGGUCGAUUUGAUUAAUCUCCUGGUUAGGUGUGUGGCCUCUCUCCCUCAUCACUCUAGGUACAGAGACAUUUCUCAGAAGCUGCAAAAGGGUUUGAAAAUGACACUUUUUCCUAAGUGUGUAAGACUGUUCUUCAAAAAAGGGUAUGGGCAAGCUUAUAGAAUCUUUGGUAAAUGGACACAUCCUACUAGGAGUUAGGAAACAUGGUUUUCAUAAUCACUCCCAACCAGAAAUGUAUAUGAACAACAUAGAAGACAUGAAUUGUUUACACUCUCU
rnacentral:snRNA from 1 species